AUGUCUCAGUGACUUUUCCUGAGGAGGUUCCUGGCCUCAGUCGUCUCCAGGAAGCCCUCUCAGGAUCGGUGGCCACCUCUCACUUCUGGAGCCCUGCAGACCCCACAGUGCAGUCCUGGUGGCCUGGCUGUAACACCCAACUCAGCCCAGACCAUAUACACCACCAGCAUCUCCUCAAUGACCAUUAAUAUCCAGGAUGGACCUGACUUUCAAGACCAACAGUGAGACGCCAGUGCUUGUGGAUUUCCACGCACAGUGGUGUGGACCCUGCAAGAUCCUGGGGCUGAGGUUAGAGAAGAUGGUGGUCAAGCAGCAUAGGAAAGUGCUGAUGGCCAAGGUGUAUAUUGAUGACCACACAGACCUCGCCAUUGAGUAUGAGGUGUUGGUGGUGCCCACUGUGCUGGCCAUGAAGAAUGGGGAUGUGGUGGACAAGUUUGUGGGCAUCAAAGAUGAGGAUCAGCUGGAGGCCUUCCUGAAGAAGCUGAUUGGCUGA
rnacentral:lncRNA from 1 species